rnacentral:rRNA from 1 species
AUUGAGCGCUGGCGGCAUGCCUUACACAUGCAAGUCGAACGGUAACAGGGAGCUUGCUCCGCUGACGAGUGGCGAACGGGUGAGUAAAGUAUCGGAACGUACCUUUCAGUGGGGGAUAACGUAGCGAAAGUUACGCUAAUACCGCAUAUUCUGUGAGCAGGAAAGCAGGGGAUCGCAAGACCUUGCGCUGAUUGAGCGGCCGAUAUCAGAUUAGCUAGUUGGUGAGGUAAAGGCUCACCAAGGCGACGAUCUGUAGCGGGUCUGAGAGGAUGAUCCGCCACACUGGAACUGAGACACGGUCCAGACUCCUACGGGAGGCAGCAGUGGGGAAUUUUGGGCAAUGGGGGCAACCCUGAUCCAGCCAUGCCGCGUGAGUGAAGAAGGCCUCGG